UUGUUUCCUCCAGGACCCACUGUGUACCCCUGGGGUGCACCUAAGCUUGUUUGAGAAGCAUGGACCUAUGGCUGAGCUCACUGAAGAAGAUGAGGGAGAAGAGGUCCAGAGCUGACCUAGCUUGCGGAGGCCACCCAGUCGAGUUCAUCAUCCAGCACCCACUGAUGCAAAUAGCUCUGAACUCACUGUGUGCAUGAAUCUACUUGCUAUGUCCACAUAUGUAUUUUUUUGGCCACUUACCUGUAGAAAGAUUAUGAACAGAAUAGAGGUUAAAAAAAAAAAGAACAGAGAUGAAAACUAACUGAAGAUCUUAAGGGCCCAGAGGAUUA